UACGAAGGGGGCUAGCGUUGUUCGGAAUUACUGGGCGUAAAGCGCGCGUAGGCGGUGAUCUUUGUCAGGGGUGAAAUCCCGGGGCUCAACCCCGGAAUUGCCUUUGAGACGGGAUCGCUAGAGUCCGAGAGAGGAUGGCGGAAUUCCUAGUGUAGAGGUGAAAUUCGUAGAUAUUAGGAAGAACACCGGUGGCGAAGGCGGCCAUCUGGCUCGGUACUGACGCUCAGGCGCGAAAGCGUGGGGAGCAGACAGG
rnacentral:rRNA from 1 species